rnacentral:rRNA from 1 species
GACGAACGCUGGCGGCGUGCUUAACACAUGCAAGUCGAACGGAAAGGCCCAGCUUGCUGGGUGCUCGAGUGGCGAACGGGUGAGUAACACGUGGGUGAUCUGCCCCUCACUUCGGGAUAAGCUUGGGAAACUGGGUCUAAUACCGGAUAGGACAAUCGUUUAGUGUCGGUUGUGGAAAGUUUUUUCGGUUAGGGAUGAGCCCGCGGCCUAUCAGCUUGUUGGUGGGGUAAUGGCCUACCAAGGCGUCGACGGGUAGCCGGCCUGGGAGGGUGGACGGCCACAUUGGGACUGAGAUACGGCCCAGACUCCUACGGGAGGCAGCAGUGGGGAAUAUUGCACAAUGGGCGCAAGCCUGAUGCAGCGACGCCGCGUGGGGGAUGACGGCCUUCGGGUUGUAAACCUCUUUCGACAGGGACGAAGCUUUGGUGACGGUACCUGUAUAAGAAGCACCGGCUAACUACGUG